GAGGUUGUGGCUCAGUGGUAGAGCGCUUGCCUAGCACACAUGAAGUACUGUGUUCAAUCCUCAGCACCACA
rfam:Ictidomys tridecemlineatus contig000404, whole genome shotgun sequence.